rnacentral:rRNA from 1 species
GGGGGGACGCAGUAGGAUAGGCGAAGCGUGCGAUUGGAUUGCACGUCUAAGCAGUAAGGCUGAGUAUUAGGCAAAUCCGGUACUCGUUAAGGCUGAGCUGUGAUGGGGAGAAGACAUUGAGUCUUCGAGUCGUUGAUUUCACACUGCCGAGAAAAGCCUCUAGAUAGAAAAUAGGUGCCCGUACCGCAAACCGACACAGGUAGUCAAGAUGAGAAUUCUAAGGUGAGCGAGCGAACUCUCGUUAAGGAACUCGGCAAAAUGACCCCGUAACUUCGGGAGAAGGGGUGCUCUUUAGGGUUAACGCCCAGAAGAGCCGCAGUGAAUAGGCCCAAGCGACUGUUUAUCAAAAACACAGGUCUCUGCUAAACCGUAAGGUGAUGUAUAGGGGCUGACGCCUGCCCGGUGCUGGAAGGUUAAGAGGAGUGGUUAGCUUCUGCGAAGCUACGAAUCGAAGCCCCAGUAAACGGCGGCCGUAACUAUAACGGUCCUAAGGUAGCGAAAUUCCUUGUCGGGUAAGUUCCGACCCGCACGAAAGGCGUAACGAUUUGGGCACUGUCUCAACGAGAGACUCGGUGAAAUCAUAGUACCUGUGAAGAUGCAGGUUACCCGCGACAGGACGGAAAGACCCCGUGGAGCUUUACUGUAGCCUGAUAUUGAAAUUCGGCACAGCUUGUACAGGAUAGGUAGGAGCCUUUGAAACGUGAGCGCUAGCUUACGUGGAGGCGCUGGUGGGAUACUACCCUAGCUGUGUUGGCUUUCUAACCCGCACCACUUAUCGUGGUGGGAGACAGUGUCAGGCGGGCAGUUUGACUGGGGCGGUCGCCUCCUAAAAGGUAACGGAGGCGCUCAAAGGUUCCCUCAGAAUGGUUGGAAAUCAUUCAUAGAGUGUAAAGGCAUAAGGGAGCUUGACUGCGAGACCUACAAGUCGAGCAGGGUCGAAAGACGGACUUAGUGAUCCGGUGGUUCCGCAUGGAAGGGCCAUCGCUCAACGGAUAAAAGCUACCCCGGGGAUAACAGGCUUAUCUCCCCCAAGAGUUCACAUCGACGGGGAGGUUUGGCACCUCGAUGUCGGCUCAUCGCAUCCUGGGGCUGUAGUCGGUCCCAAGGGUUGGGCUGUUCGCCCAUUAAAGCGGUACGCGAGCUGGGUUCAGAACGUCGUGAGACAGUUCGGUCCCUAUCCGUCGUGGGCGUAGGAAAUUUGAGAGGAGCUGUCCUUAGUACGAGAGGACCGGGAUGGACAUACCUCUGGUGUACCAGUUGUCGUGCCAACGGCAUAGCUGGGUAGCUAUGUGUGGACGGGAUAAGUGCUGAAAGCAUCUAAGCAUGAAGCCCCCCUCAAGAUGAGAUUUCCCAACUUCGGUUAUAAGAUCCCUCAAAGAUGAUGAGGUUAAUAGGUUCGAGGUGGAAGCAUGGUGACAUGUGGAGCUGACGAAUACUAAU